rnacentral:rRNA from 1 species
GACGAACGCUGGCGGCGUGCUUAACACAUGCAAGUCGAACGAGAUCCAAUGUGUAGCAAUACACAGGAAGAUCUAGUGGCGAACGGGUGAGGAACACGUGAGAAACGUACCCCAGACUCUGGGAUAACAGUCCGAAAGGACUGCUAAUACCAGAUGACGUCGGAGGUCCGCAUGGACCACUGACGAAAGGGAUUCCGGUUUGGGAGCGUCUCGCGGACCUAUCAGCUAGUUGGAGGGGUAACGGCCCACCAAGGCAACGACGGGUAGCUGGUCUGAGAGGAUGGACAGCCACACUGGGACUGAGACACGGCCCAGACUCCUACGGGAGGCAGCAGUGGGGAAUCUUGCGCAAUGGGCGAAAGCCUGACGCAGCAACGCCGCGUGCGGGAAGAAGGCUUUCGGGCUGUAAACCGCUUUCAGUAGGAACGAAACUGACGGUACCUACAGAAGAAGGAGCGGCCAACUAUGUG